GACGAACGCUGGCGGCGUGCUUAACACAUGCAAGUCGAACGGAAAGGCCCUGCUUUUGUGGGGUGCUCGAGUGGCGAACGGGUGAGUAACACGUGAGUAACCUGCCCUUGACUUUGGGAUAACUUCAGGAAACUGGGGCUAAUACCGGAUAGGAGCUCCUGCUGCAUGGUGGGGGUUGGAAAGUUUCGGCGGUUGGGGAUGGACUCGCGGCUUAUCAGCUUGUUGGUGGGGUAGUGGCUUACCAAGGCUUUGACGGGUAGCCGGCCUGAGAGGGUGACCGGCCACAUUGGGACUGAGAUACGGCCCAGACUCCUACGGGAGGCAGCAGUGGGGAAUAUUGCACAAUGGGCAGAAGCCUGAUGCAGCAACGCCGCGUGCGGGAUGACGGCCUUCGGGUUGUAAACCGCUUUCGCCUGCGACGAAGCGUGAGUAACGGUAAUGGGUAAAGAAGCACCGGCUAACUACGUG
rnacentral:rRNA from 1 species